GCCAAUGUGGUGUAGUGGUUUGAGCUUUAGACUACAACUCUGGGGACCAAGGUUCAAAUCCUCAGUCCUGGAA